AUUGAACGCUGGCGGCAUGCUUUACACAUGCAAGUCGAACGGCAGCACGGGCUUCGGCCUGGUGGCGAGUGGCGAACGGGUGAGUAAUAUAUCGGAACGUACCCAGAAGUGGGGGAUAACGUAGCGAAAGUUACGCUAAUACCGCAUACGAUCUAUGGAUGAAAGCAGGGGACCGCAAGGCCUUGUGCUCCUGGAGCGGCCGAUAUCUGAUUAGCUAGUUGGUGAGGUAAAGGCUCACCAAGGCGACGAUCAGUAGCUGGUGUGAGAGGACGACCAGCCACACUGGAACUGAGACACGGUCCAGACUCCUACGGGAGGCAGCAGUGGGGAAUUUUGGACAAUGGGCGCAAGACUGAUCCAGCAAUGCCGCGUGAGUGAAGAAGGCCUUCGGGUUGUAAAGCUCUUUUGUCAGGGAAGAAACGGUAGAGGCUAAUAUCCUGUGCUAAUGACGGUACCUGAAGAAUAAGCACCGGCUAACUACGUG
rnacentral:rRNA from 1 species